UACGUAGGGUGCAAGCGUUAAUCGGAAUUACUGGGCGUAAAGCGUGCGCAGGCGGUUGUGCAAGACAGAUGUGAAAUCCCCGGGCUCAACCUGGGAACUGCAUUGGUGACUGGCGGGCUAGAGUAUGGCAGAGGGGGGGUAGAAUUCCACGUGUAGCAGUGAAAUGCGUAGAGAUGUGGAGGAAUACCGAUGGCGAAGGCAGCCCCCUGGGCCAAUACUGACGCUCAUGCACGAAAGCGUGGGGAGCAAACAGG
rnacentral:rRNA from 1 species